UCUAUGUCUGGCUCAAGGAAGGGUUCCCUCCUCCCUCCAAUGUGCACAGAGACCUUGAGAUCCCAUCCACCUAACCCUGUGCCCUCAGAAGCCUCCUCUGAGAGGGGGCACCUUUUCCUAAUUCUCACAAAGGCUAGUGGCUACCUUGUAGAUAGCCUUGGAUGUGUUAGGACACUUUUCUGAACAUCAGUUCCUUAUCUGUAAGAUGGGAGUUGUGUCCUCAAUGGGUAAUUAGAGAUUAUUCAUGGGAAAUCCUAUCACGGUAUCUACCACGGGGAGACUCACAAGUGCUGAUCUUUGCUGGUGUUGCUGCAUUUGUUAUUGAAUGCAUUCGUUAGGAGUCUUGUUAGUAAGUGACAAAAAUCCAACUCAAAUUGGCUUACACUAAACAAGUUUCCUGCAUCUGGGAGUAUAAAGGGUGACGCUUUGGCAGAGGCUGGCUCUGGAAAACGAGGACGCACAUUUGUGCCCCCACUUUCCUCUGUGCGGCGUCCUUCUCUUCAAGGCUUCCCCCAGUUUGGCAAACACGGCCCCAGCAAUGUCAAGCUGAGAGCACCUUUUAAGAAAGACCCUUCCUUCCAUGUGUUUUGGCAAAAGUCCCAUGAAGCAGUAUGAGUGGCCCGGUUUGGGUCAUGGGCUCACCCCUAAACCAGCCGCUCUGGAUGGAUUAGUUCCAAUUGGACAGGCCAUGGUCUUGGACUCUUUGGGUGAGUGUGGGAGGGUGUGGGAGGGAAGAUUCAUUGAACCUCAUCUCUACUACAUGGUACAGCUCCCUGGAAGAAAGAGGGGCUCCAUUACCAGAAGGAAACAAGGAAUUUUAUGGGGAACCACAUUAUCACUACCACAAUCUACCAUGCUAUACAUAAGAAAUGCACCUUGGUCUUAAUGCACGGUCUUGAGGGGGUGCAAGCUGAAUCCAAUUCCCAGCGUCUGGGUCAGUGUCCCUCAUGGGGGAGCUGCCUCACUUAAGAUUCCUUUGGAUAGGUAAGGUAGAACACCAAGCUGCGCGGGAUUAUGAAAAGAAAGGGAGAAAUUCACUGGCUCGCAGAAUUGAAAAGCUGAGAUCCAGCUGUACUUUUAAGCCUGAGCCAUUCUCCAGCUCCUGGCCCUGCCUCUCGCUGUCUUGGCUUCACCCUUCACAGACUGCCCUGCAAGGACCGAGGUGGAGUCUCAUUGGACUGGCUCAGGUCGUGUGCCUAGUUCUGAACCAUCCACUGUUUCCAGAGGGAUGGGGUAUCCUGAUUAGCCAGGAAGAAGUCAGACGUCUCUGAGCUAACUUUACUGAGAAUUGGGUAGAGGAGGUCCCCCAAAAGUAAAGUUGGGCACUGCAGUUCAGGAGAAGGGUGAUCACUGGUUGCUAAGCAACCAUAAAGUAGCCAGCAUCUCCUGUGGGUUGGGGUUUGCGCCUGUGAAUGGACAAGUGGCACUCGGAAAUUAAAUGCAGUGCAUCCAGUGCUCAAGCUCCUGGGCUUCGUCUGCUCCACACUUUUUCCUCUGCCCUUUGGGCUAAAGCCGUUGGGUUUGGGACAAGAGAAGGGGAGAGCUGGUACCUCUUCCCUUUUUUGCCCAGGAAAGUUGUUUCUCCAUCAUUUCAUGGCUCAAAGUCAUUAAAUCUGAGUAAUUCUUACAAACCAGAUCCAGGAAGAAUCUAGGAGUGGGCUCUCUGUAGAUUAGAAUGCUUCAGGCUGCAGGUAACAGAAGACUUGACUGGAAAUGCCUUCAACAGAGAAGGGAUGUAUCAUUUUCUAGAAGGAGAAAUUCUGCAGCUGGGACGGUUCCAGGGUUGGUUUCUUUGGAAACUCAGAACUUCAUCGAGGCUCUGGAUUCAUUUCUUCUUUCUGCUGUGCCAUUUCCAGCCUGUUGACUUGGCCUGGGCCAGCUGUCCUCUCACGCUCAUGAUUGCUGCCUCUGCUCCUGCCAUCACAUACACAAGCAGUGCCUGUUCAGUGGAACAAAAGGAAAUCAAAAAGAGGAAUCACAUUGUCCUGUGUCUCUACAAUGUUUUUUUUUUUUUAAAUCAUGAAAACCGUUCCCAGAAACCCCACAACAGACUUUCUGUUUCAUCUCAUUGGCCAGAACAGUAUCACAGGAGACUACUGGGAUUGGCAUAGACUAGCUAGGAUGCACCCUUAGAGCCCGUGGAGGACGGCAGACAUCUGAGCAGAGCUGGGCCUCAGCGGGCAGGGGAUGACAGGGACUGGCAGGCAUCCUUUUGGUCACUCAGAGGACUUCCUUCAAUCCACCCAGGGCUGGUUGGCAUCAUAAACUCAGGAUGGCAGCACUUGGAUGGCUGUGGUUGCUUUGUCUCCAGUGAGUGCCCCAGGAAACCAUCUCUUCUGGUCGCCACACGGCUAUUUGGCUACUGACGACUCUUGCUUACCAAAUGCAGGCGAAGCUGUUCAGAAGUAC
rnacentral:lncRNA from 1 species